rnacentral:tRNA from 1 species
UAGGAAGACAGGACCCGAACCUGCACCCAAGAGCCCAAAACUCUUCGUACUACCACUUAUACUACCUCCUA